GGAUCCCCGUGGUCUCCUCCUACGGUGGAAAGAAACGCAAAGAUGUGGAAUGAAGAGGAAUAAACACACUAUUUGGAAAUAAAUUUAAUUACAUUACAGCAAUGGAUGCUCAAGGUGUGGUACACGGGCUCCCUCUUGUGCAAGUUUGAUCUGGAGUGUCAAAAAUCAGCUUGAAGCAAGCACACGUUGCCCUUUUUUAAAGAGCUGUUUGCAAUCUGCCUAACUGCACGUAGUACGUACAGCAGUUUGAUGGCCAAAAGUAUGGAGUCUGGAAGCAGAAACAUGAUAAGAAACCCAACGCACACCAAGAAGAAACCUAAACAUCUCUGACAGAGGACCAUAUGGUGUGUUGUCAUGUGAGGAGAGAGAGGUGGAGGGUGCGGGGCUAUAGGAGCAUCAUCGCAUCUGUCACAAUAAAACAUUUUUGUCUUAUAAUAGGCUCCGUGCAUCGUUGAAAGCGCAUAAGCUCCUUUUCAGCAAGCGCUCAGCGCACCCAUGUAUCUUGCCACUCUUCGGGCGACAUUGUGAGCAGCUUCCAAUGAGAAGGCGAAUCGUGUAAGGAACACAAACAGCCUUGAGGGUUCAUUUACAUUGUGUAGCGCACGAGAGGCAGCUCAUUGGGCGGAAAACGCUAAAGGUGUCAAUCCUGCAAUUGAUGUUCACACAAACCUCAGUGUGGUGUUUGUGUCCAUGUUUUUAUAUGAGACUGUAUAAAUUAUUGGCCAUAAGUGUAACACAGGGCCCUCAUUACAUUGGAUUCAGUGGAUUGUAGAAUGGCCCUGUGGUACUUUUAGUCUGUCAACAGUGUGAAUACCGUGUACGCAUAAUACACUAACCACAAUUGUACAAUGAUAGUUGAAAGAUAGAUUUUCUAUUAAUAAAAGAUGUUCCUGGAUGUAGUAAAUAUUUGAUGUUAAUGGGUCAGACAAAACAUUUCAGACCUCUUUUAGUAAGUACAGUAAAAUCCUGUUUUGGUAGCGGCGUAAGUAUACAUCAUCAUGCGGCGCAAGAAACCAGGCUCUGUUGUGGCCUUACUUAUUGUUUUCCAUUUGAUUGUUUUAUAUGCAUGAUACAAAUACGGACUGUAAUUAUGACUUUACUGCGUUGACGUAGGUUAGUGAUAAGAUUAUGGCGCAUUCCAACUUGCAUACAAAUUUGGGUUACGUCAUUGCAGUAAGACGGGAACUCCAAUGUAAACCAAGGACGUGUGUGUGUGUGUUGAUUUAUUGAGGGCUGAUGAAGAAAAGAUGGGUAUAACUCAACAUCCCGCAUUAAAUCUGGCCUUCAUGGUUCUCUAGUCUAAUCAAAUCUUCUUCAGAGGUUAAUUUUCAAGGUUCUUCAUUUUGAAUGGGAUUAUACUGAGAGAUGUUCCUAAUACUACAGCUUUCACAGAAACUCUGUGUGUUUAGGAUUCAAAGACGUGUUAAAGACAAAUUACAAACUCUACAAAAAUGUGGGGAUCUCGCGCCUCAU